UACGUAGGCAGCAAGCGUUGUUCGGAGUUACUGGGCGUAAAGAGUGCGUAGGCGGUCCUCUAAGUUUGGUGUGAAAUCUCCCGGCUCAACCGGGAGGGUGCGCCGAAAACUGGAGGGCUCGAGUGUGGGAGAGGUAAGCGGAAUUCCUGGUGUAGCGGUGAAAUGCGCAGAUAUCAGGAGGAACACCGGUGGCGAAGGCGGAUCUCUGGGCCAUUACUGACGCUGAGGAGCGAAAGCGUGGGGAGCGAACAGG
rnacentral:rRNA from 1 species